GUYUUUUUGAAUUAUUUAUAUUUAUAUAAAGUCUAACCUGCCCAUUGAAUUAUUUUAAAAGGCUGCGGUAUUUUGACUGUACAAAGGUAGCAUAAUCAUUAGUUUUUUAAUUGAGGACUAGUAUGAAUGGUUGAAUAAAAUAUAAACUUUUUUAAUUAUAAAUAUUGAAUUUUACUUUUUAAUUAAAAGGUUAAAAUAUAUUUAAAAGACGAGAAGACCCUAUAGAGUUUUAUAUUGAUUAUUUUUAUUUUUAAAUUAAGUAAUUAAUAAUAAUAUUUUAAUUAAUAUUUUGUUGGGGUGAUAAUAAAAUUUAAUAAACUUUUAUUUUUUUUUUACAUUAAUAAAUGAUUAAUUGAUCCAUUAUUAAUGAUUAAAAAAUUAAAUUACCUUAGGGAUAACAGCAUAAUUUUUUUUAAAAGUUCUUAUUAAUAAAAAAUUUUGUGACCUCGAUGUUGGAUUAAGAUUUAAUUUUAGGUGCAGAAGUUUAAAAUUUAAGUCUGUUCRACUUUUAAAUUCUU
rnacentral:rRNA from 1 species